CGUACGGUACGGCCGCGCCGCGCGCUCACUGAUGCGUCAUACCGCUAUCGAAGACGACGCGUGUUUCGUCGAUCGCCACGGCAAUUCGCGCGCGCCAUGUGAACUUCUUGUGUUGACUAUGAACAUUGAAUCGCGACGGCGCGAUCGUUAAUAUCGAUAAUAAUAAAUUUAUUUACAAUUUCGCCAACAUGGACAGUGACUAUGGUUCCGUUAGCAGAGACUUUACUGUGGCAGUGGUUCACGAGGUUAACGCACGUGCUCGCAUCUCGUUCCCGAAAGUGAAUGACACAAAAGGGUCGACAGGGUGACUAUAGAAGAUGGCGGCACGCUGCGAUGUGACUUGUGAGGUAACAUUGCUGAGAUAUCGAGGACAUUUUAUCGAGAUGGCUAAUGAGGACCUGUUCGAUCGCUGAUUGUACAUCCGGAUUGAAGAUGCUGAACAAAACUUCUAGAUGACAGCUACAUUCCGACCAUUUUCUAUUUAUCAGCUACCGGAUUCCGUGAGCGCGGAUCGGUGAAAGCGGCGGCCAGGGCGAGGCGGCGGCAUUGCGCCGGGACAGAUAACGACGAAGCUUCAUUAGAAAGAGAGUGGAAGAUGUAAUUUAAUACCGUCAUUAUUUAACAGCUUGUUUACAGGAUCAUUACAAAUGUUUGAUAAUAAAUUCUUUAACAG